rnacentral:rRNA from 1 species
UACAGAGACUGCAAGCGUUAUUCGGAUUCACUGGGCGUAAAGGGUGCGCAGGCGGCCGGGUGUGUCAGAUGUGAAAUCCCGAGGCUCAACCUCGGAACUGCGUCUGAAACUACUCGGCUAGAGUACUGGAGAGGGUAACGGAAUUCACGGUGUAGCAGUGAAAUGCGUAGAUAUCGUGAGGAACACCAGAGGCGAAGGCGGUUACCUGGACAGUUACUGACGCUCAGGCACGAAAGCGUGGGGAGCAAAAGGG